rnacentral:rRNA from 1 species
UACACUGAGGUCUGAUGACGAGUCACUACGGUGGCGAAGUAGCUCAUGCCCCGCUUCCAGGAAAAGCCUCUAAGCUCUAGAUUAUCAUUAAUCGUACCCCAAACCGACACAGGUGGUCAGGUAGAGAAUACUCAGGCGCUUGAGAGAACUCGGGUGAAGGAACUAGGCAAAAUGGUGCCGUAACUUCGGGAGAAGGCACGCUGGCAUUAGGUGAAGUGGUUUACCCAUGGAGCUGAAGCCAGUCGCAGAUACCAGCUGGCUGCAACUGUUUAUUAAAAACACAGCACUGUGCAAACACGAAAGUGGACGUAUACGGUGUGACGCCUGCCCGGUGCUGGAAGGUUAAUUGAUGGGGUUAUCCGUAAGGAGAAGCUCUUGAUCGAAGCCCCAGUAAACGGCGGCCGUAACUAUAACGGUCCUAAGGUAGCGAAAUUCCUUGUCGGGUAAGUUCCGACCUGCACGAAUGGCGUAAUGAUGGCCAGGCUGUCUCCACCCGAGACUCAGUGAAAUUGAACUCGCUGUGAAGAUGCAGUGUACCCGCGGCAAGACGGAAAGACCCCGUGAACCUUUACUAUAGCUUGACACUGAACAUUGAGCCUUGAUGUGUAGGAUAGGUGGGAGGCUUUGAAGUGUGGACGCCAGUCUGCAUGGAGCCAACCUUGAAAUACCACCCUUUAAUGUUUGAUGUUCUAACGUUGCCCC